rnacentral:rRNA from 1 species
UACGUAGGGUGCGAGCGUUAAUCGGAAUACUGGGCGUAAAGCGUGCGCAGGCGGUUCUCCAAGUCCGUUGUGAAAGCCCCGGGCUCAACCUGGGAAUGGCAGUGGAAACUAGGGGACUGGAAUCUGGGCAGAGGGGGGUGGAAUGCCGCGUGUAGCAGUGAAAUGCGUAGAGAUGUGGAGGAAUACCGAUGGCGAAGGCAGCCCCUGGGCCAAUACUGACGCUCAUGCACGAAAGCGUGGGGAGCAAACAGG